rnacentral:rRNA from 1 species
AGCGAACGCUGGCGGCAGGCCUAACACAUGCAAGUCGAACGAAGUCUUCGGACUUAGUGGCGGACGGGUGAGUAACACGUGGGAACGUGCCUUUAGGUUCGGAAUAACUCAGGGAAACUUGUGCUAAUACCGAAUGUGCCCUUCGGGGGAAAGAUUUAUCGCCUUUAGAGCGGCCCGCGUCUGAUUAGCUAGUUGGUGAGGUAAAGGCACACCAAGGCGACGAUCAGUAGCUGGUCUGAGAGGAUGAUCAGCCACAUUGGGACUGAGACACGGCCCAAACUCCUACGGGAGGCAGCAGUGGGGAAUCUUGCGCAAUGGGCGAAAGCCUGACGCAGCCAUGCCGCGUGAAUGUUGAAGGUCUUAGGAUUGUAAAAUUCUUUCACCGGGGACGAUAAUGACGGUACCCGGAGAAGAAGCCCCGGCUAACUUCGUGCCAGCCGCCGCGGUAA